UGGGGAAUAUUGGGCAAUGGGGGCAACCCUGACCCAGCGACGCCGCGUGGGGGAAGACGGCCUUCGGGUUGUAAACCUCUUUUGUACGGGAAGAAGGAAGUGACGGUACUGUACGAAUAAGUCCCGGCUAACUACGUGCCAGCAGCCGCGGUAAUACGUAGGUGGCAAGCGUUGUCCGGAAUUACUGGGUGUAAAGGGCGUGUAGGCGGGGCGGCAAGUCAGAUGUGAAAUACCGUGGCUUAACUGCGGGGGUGCAUCUGAAACUGUCGUUCUUGAGUGUCGGAGAGGAAAGUGGAAUUCCCAGUGUAGCGGUGAAAUGCGUAGAGAUUGGGAGGAACACCAGUGGCGAAGGCGGCUUUCUGGACAGUAACUGACGCUGAGGCGCGAAAGCGUGGGGAGCGAACAGG
rnacentral:rRNA from 1 species